CCCGCCCCGGCCCGGCACGUCGCCACUUGGCGCGCUCGCAGCCGCCCCCUCCCCGCGGCCCCCGGCCCGGCCCCUCCGCGCGUCACCCUCGUUCCCUCCCUCUCUCCGCGCCCCCGCCGCGCCCCUCCCCGCCCCUCCCGGGGGUCCCCGCCCCGCCCCCUCUCUGCCGGGGGUCGCCCUGCCCGGAGCAGUCGCGCGGAGACUGCGCGGCCUCCGCCUCUACGCGCUCGCGGUCGCCGCUCCUCUCCCGCCUUUGUUCUCGGGUCGCCCCUCUCGCUGGUGGCGCUCCGAGAGAGCAGCGGAGCCACCUGCCCAGGCCACGCUUCCCCGAGCAUCCGCAGCUGCACCCGGGGGCUGUCGGCGCCCGCCCCGGAGCGUGCGGGAGGCACAGCGGGAAGAAGUCGCUGAGAUUCGGCCCUCGUGGCUUUGCGUGCCCGCGUGGUUGAUGCCUCCGCCGAGAACGCGGUCGGCCGGGAGCCGGGGAGGAGCGUGGACGCCGGCCUGGCAGUCGGAUUUAAAGUACAAUCCGGUUUCCUUUCCAUUCAUUAUAGUUGCCUACACUCAACAAACAAAAGUUGGGAAAGAUAAAGGGAUUAUUCUAGCGCGUCACAUUGACAAACACCGACGUUAACACGCUCAGUCCAGCCUGACUCACUUGCCUCAGGUCAGAGAGGUCACCACUGACGACGCCGGGCCCUCAAGCCGAUCCUAAUCCAGCUUGGUUCUCUCAGCCUCAGCCAGACCAUCCGUUCUUGCCUCUGUCCCACCACGUGCAGGUGUAAGCUUCCGCCGCACUUCUUGUCUGAAUCUGCCAAGAAGAAACUGCAUCUUUCAGCUAAAUUCUUUUCACUGAUCAGGGUAGAGUUUAGCGGUUUUUUUUUUAAGAAAAAAAACAAAAACAAAAAAAAACUCUUAAGCUAUUUGGUACUCCUCUCCCUCCGGGAUUCUGUCUCUAGAUUGUGAAAGCUGUCAGAGAAUGGAGUCAGGGAAAGCCGUGAUGGGAAAGUUCUCACUAAUAAUUGCCUGAUAUAAAGAAUUAGCACAAAAGACUGCCAAAACCACAACCUUGCACAAAGGCCACAAAACUACACAAAAAAAUGCUUCAAGGACAUUUGCGCAGCAACUGCCUGUCCAACCUUGGACUGGCCAUCCCCUUUGUUACUGAUCUUUGUAGCCAAGGAUAAUUGUUUCAAAACAACUUACGUAAUCCUCCUCGUUUUUCCUUUUAAACCCCUUAUCUUCCUUUACCUCCCUGAAUACACCUAUAGUUUACUAUGACACCAUAUUCUACAUUGCAAUGCCCACUUUCAAAUAAAUUUGUCAUGUUUGGCAAACCUGUCUGUUAUUUAGGUUGACAAGAUCAAAUGCAAAUUUAUUCUGGAGUCAACAAAUAACUGAUUCAGUCUUCCAAUGUGCAAGGCAAAGAAGAAUAUUAAGGAGACACUGUAUAGAUUAGAUCCCUGCCUAUAGGCAGCUUCAACACUAAUACAAUAUGGUACGAAUAUAUAAUUGUACUUUAAGGCAGCUUAGGUGGGAAAACAACUAGCAACUAAAAAAAAAAAUGGAGUUUACUACCAACUAAAAAAAAUGGAGGUUUCAAGGUUGACCUAGAAUUUGAAAACUGCUUUAAAGACAGGUAAGAAAGACACAGGUAGAUGUGCAAUGGAAGUAGAAAUUGGGUUUCAAGCCCCAAACAGGCUGAGGGGUGGGAAAAUAGACAUAUUCAGGUACAUCAAUCGUUCCAGUUUGGCAUAAGAAUGAGAUAAAUGAAGAUGGAUUCUAGGAGUUAAGGAUGAAAUAUGUAGGGAGGUACUAUGAUGUAAUGGAGAGAACAAAGAUUUCAAGUUAAGACUUUGGUUUAAAUCCCAGCUGUGCCUCUUAUUAGCUGUGUGAUCAAAGGUAAAUUAGUUAAUCUCUCUGACCCUCCAUUUCCUCAUUUGUAUGAUAACAAUAAUGUCCAAUUAUUCCACAAAUAUUUUAUGGCAAGCCAAGUAUUAACUAAGAACUAUGUUAAAUGAUGAAGAUAUAAAAAAACCAUUUAUUCAUUCAUUCAUCAAAUGAAUGCCUUACUGUUUACUAAGUUACACCCUGAGUUAGGCCCUGGAAAUACUGAUAAGGGGGAAAAAAGCAUGAAACCGUAUGAGACCACUUAGAUUAUGCAGAUAUACGUGAAAAUAAGGCCCAAGACCAAGAAGUCCAAAGGUACUCAACUUGUGGAAGUAAGAUAGAGAAGGAAAAAAAAGAAAACUAAGUGUAAAGUACUGUAAACUGAAAGGAGAGAGUGUUUUAAAAGAGGGACUGGUCAGCUCUCCUAAUGGAGAAGUUAGUAAGGUGGCAGAGAAGAAUACAUUGUAUUUAUCAACCUGGAGGUAAUUAACUGUCUUGACUGUUUCAAGCUAUUUCAGCAAAGUGGUGGUUUCAGAAACUAAAUUAAAGCAGAUUAAGGGAGGAAUGGAAGCCUAGGAAUUGGAGCCAGAGUAUAGACAACUCUUCUGUGUAGUUUUAUUAUAAAAAGUAAUGGAGAAAGAGAGUAUCUGGAGAGGUGGUAGGGAUGUUUUUAAGAUGGAAGACAUUAGCACAUGUUGGUAUACUGAAAAGAAUGACUGAGUAGGAAGGCAGAAAACCAUGAUUGAGCAGAGAGAGGAAAUGCUACUGGAAGGCAGCUUGUGAGAAGGCAAGGAAAAAUGGGCUCCAGAGCACAGGUAUUAGACAGGAAGCAGAAUCCACCCAAUUUAACAGGAAAGACAGAAGGUGGUCGCAGCUGCAAGCAGGUGAGUGGAAAACUUGAAGGUUUGUUUUUUUGUUUUUUUGUUUUUUUUUGAGACAGAGACUCACUCUGUUGCCCAGGUUGGAGUGCAGUGGCCUGAUCUCGGCUCACUGCAAGCUCCACCUCCUGGGUUCACGCCAUUCUCCUGCCUCAGCCUCCCAAGUAGCUGGGACUACAGGUGCCCGCUACCACACCUGGCUAAUUUUUUGUAUUUUUAGUAGAGACGGAGUUUCACCAUGUUAGCCAGGAUGGUCUCGAUCUCCUGACCUCAUGAUCUGCCUGCCUCGGCCUCCCAAAGUGCUGGGAUUACAGGCGUGAGCCACUGCACCCAGCCAACUUGAAGGAUUUUUAUUUCUGAUAUAUUUUCUUUCCUUCAUGAAAUAUAAAGGGAAAAUCAGCUGACAGUUGUGUAGGGGAGAGAGAUACAGAAGAUCUGAGGAAGAAGGAGGUGUGUCAGCAGGAAAGCAAAGUUUCCAGGAUGCCAAGUGUUUUGCCUUCUUGAGAGUUAUGGUCAUGAAUUUAAAGUGAAACUACUCGGUCUGGCUUUGUCAGGUUCUCAGUCAAGUUUACCUACUUGGAUUCAGGCUUGGACAAAGUGGAUAAUGGGGUUCAUUCAGGAAGGGGUUUUCCAGGUGAGGAAGAGGGACAAAGAAAUUGAAGUCUGUUUGUAAAGGAGUGAUUAUAAUGAUGAGCCAUGAUAUCUAAGCUGGACAAGGUAGGAAAUUUGAGGGCUAUAAAUGGUGAAAAAAGCCAAUGAACUGGAGAUUUCAAUAAGAUUAGAGAAUGGCUGUCUUCGGGGUACUAGAGGUGGUGAGCUGGAAGGACAGGAAAUGAUUGCAUGAGAAUAACUUGCUUGAAAUAAAGAUUUCAGAAGUCAUACUAAUAUUGGCGACAGCAAAGUCUAGAGGGGUAAAAGGCAACUGAAUGUGAGUUGGUUAAGGAAUUAGAAAGCAUACAGCCAGUCCUAGCUUGGCAUGGUAGAACAUGACUAGAAAAAUGACCAUGGAAGUUGAAAUUGUGCAAAGUGAUCUUAAUAAUCAAAGAGA
rnacentral:lncRNA from 10 species